UCGCUAGUCAGCUGGCCCUUUAAGAGAACUGCUUGACCUUCAGUGUCAUUGCCUCUUAGACUUCUGGGAACAGGAGAGGACAUGAAAACCCAGCAAAGGCUGAGAAAGGAAGACUAGGUUCCAGGUGGCAGAAGAAUAAAGCCAGAGAAGACAGUUGAUGCAGGAAGAAGAAGGACUGGAUAGGGCUAGAGGAGAGAAGACAGUCUGAGAAGAGAGACUGAGCAGAGUGGACAUAGGAGACUGUUGAGCCUGGAGAAGCUGAGCUGAGCAGAAGGUGGUCUGCAGGAUCUCUGCCACCUAUGGAGGGUUCAUGACACCCUUGUCACUAGGCUGUCUGCUCUCUGGUGUCAUAGGCUCUACCCCUCAGAGCUCUGGGGGUCUGCAGUCAAAAGGAACUCGGCUGCCUCAUCUCCCGUCUGUGCAGAUGUGGGUUUCCUUGUGGAUGUGAGGCCCAUGUUGGCCUUUCCAGUUCCCAUUCUCCGGCCCUAACUACUGAGGCUCUGAGCACCUUGGGGUUGAGUUUCUCUUCUGGCCUCAGGUCAUCCCUGCGUCUGGCUGGAACCUGAGCAGGACUGUGUCCCUGGUGCCCUAAAGCUGGCUGAUCAAAUAUCCAUCUGACUCUGGAAUUUGUCAUAAUGACUUGAAGUCUGUAGUCCAACUGCCCCAACAAUGGACAGCCGUGAAUGGGAAGUCCAAGAGUCUAGAAGUUGCUCAGUCCCACGAGGCUAGCAGUUUCAGCUGUUCCUCCGUAGAAGUUGGUUCCAGCAGAGGUGCUGGUCAUGACCACAUGGGCACAUUCACUUGCCAAAAUCCUUUAAAAUGUUAAACGUUCCACAACUCCAACAGACGCAUGGAUGUCUAUAAAUACCUGUGGAAUGACGUAUGGAGGACAGCGAGGUUCCUCACAAUCAACCUUAUGUUGCUAUAGCAAUGCCGUGGACUGGUAAUUUAUGAAAUGAAACACUUCCAACAGCUCUGGCAGCUGCUAGAGCCAAGGCUGAAGGAUGGCUCUUUCUUUGAGGCAGGGUCUUGGUAGGUAGUCCUUGAUGACCUCAACUUAGUGUCUCAGUUAGGGUUUUAUUGCUGUGAACAGACACCAUGACCAAGGCAACUCUU
rnacentral:sRNA from 1 species